rnacentral:lncRNA from 1 species
AUAUAGGGGACAGGACAAAAAAGUCAGUAGGCAAGUAAAAAUGAUACAUGUAUGUACAUGUAAACGCUUAUAAAACUACUGCCUACCAAAAAUCAUGGGUAAAUCUUUAACUGACCCAAUCACAAAAAGUAACACAACCUUAUUGUUAAUCAAAACUUCAUUGGCAAUUAUACCACAUCAUCUUAUUUUUGUAUCAAAUUCUAGCUGUACUAUGUUCAUACAUAGGAUACAUGCAAAUUUAAAAUAAGAAAAAAGUAAUUUCUGUCUGUGUAUU